UUACGUUGAAUUUAGCAACGGAUUUUCCGUUGCUAAUUGAAAAAAAAUAAAUUAAAAUGUUAAAAUUAUGUAGACCGUUGAUUGCAUAAAAUCUGAACCGUUUAUUUUCACUCUCUCCCCCCACACCGAAAUACAGAUCCAACAACCAUUUACGCUGAAAAUUAAUUUACUUCCACUCUUCCAGUAUCCUUCUUCGUCCCUAAUAACAUCGAUUCCUAACUGUUCAAAAAUCACCCUCUCUUCAUCGAUUUCAUCUUCCUUUACCCGAAACUGUUCAUCAUCUUCGCACUCGUCUUCGGCAACCCUAUUUUUUUUCUUCAUCUUCUUCUCCUUCAUCUUAACAGUUUCAAUAUUUCUCUGCAAACCAACAAAAACAGAGACCCAUGGCAACAUCGCACCAGAUCCAUCGAUUUCACCAUCGAACAUCCUGUUUUACCCCUUCUCUGUAAACGGGUUAGGUUUUGCACUGUUUUCUUCGAUAGCUCAGGUGUUAUUCUGUCGUGUUGAUCCAUCUCCCUCACCUGUAACUGAAGAACACAGGUUUUUAAGCGUGGCAUCAAGUUAUCUUCCUCAAUAAUUAAUCAGCCUUUGGGUUCUUCUUGGCACGAAAGCGGUGUGUUGCGUUCUUACUAUUAUUUAAUAUGGUCUCCUUAAUGCUUUGUCCUUUUGAGGUCUUGUGCUCUUAUACUACAUGUCAUUUACAUGGAAUAUCAUUUAAUGCAUCCAGCUUCCUUUGUUCAUGCAAUUUUUCUACAUGUCAUUUACUGUUUUUAUACAAACUGUUACCAUUUUCUGCAUCUGCUACCAUUGUUAAUUAGAGUUAAUUAAUUUAG